CCUACGGGUGGCAGCAGUGGGGGAUAUUGCACAAUGGGGGGAACCCUGAUGCAGCGACGCCGCGUGGGUGAAGAAGCGCCUCGGCGCGUAAAGCCCUGUCAGCAGGGAAGAAAAUGACGGUACCUGAAGAAGAAGCCCCGGCUAACUACGUGCCAGCAGCCGCGGUCAUACGUGGGGGGCACGCGUUAUCCGGAUUUACUGGGGGUAAAGGGGGCGCAGACGGCGUUGCAAGCCAGGAGUGAAAGCGCGGGGGCCAACCCCGGGACUGCUGUUGGAACUGCGUGGCUGGAGUGGAGGAGGGGCAGGCGGAAUUCCUGGUGUAGCGGUGAAAUGCGUAGAUAUCAGGAGGAACACCGGUGGCGAAGGCGGCCUGCUGGACUGCAACUGACGUUGAGGCACGAAAGCGUGGGGAGCAAACAGGAUUAGAUACCCGAGUAGUC
rnacentral:rRNA from 1 species